rnacentral:rRNA from 1 species
UGGUGCCAGCAGCCGCGGUAAUUCCAGCUCCAAUAGCGUAUAUUAAAGUUGUUGCAGUUAAAAAGCUCGUAGUUGAAUUUCGGGGUUAGUAAGUUGGUCAUGCCUCUGGUAUGCACUGGCUUUACUGAUUCCUCCUUCUUGAUGAACUGUAAUGUCAUUAAUUUGGUGUUGCAGGGAAUCAGGACUGUUACUUUGAAAAAAUUAGAGUGUUUAAAGCAGGCAUAAGCUUGAAUACAUUAGCAUGGAAUAAUGAAAUAGGACGUUUGAUCCUAUUUUGUUGGUUUCUAGGAUUGACGUAAUGAUUAAUAGGGAUAGUUGGGGGCAUUAGUAUUCAAUUGUCAGAGGUGAAAUUCUUGGAUUUAUUGAAGACUAACUACUGCGAAAGCAUUUGCCAAGGAUGUUUUCAUUAAUCAAGAACGAAAGUUAGGGGAUCGAAGACGAUCAGAUACCGUCGUAGUUUUAACCAUAAACUAUGCCGACUAGGGA